rnacentral:rRNA from 1 species
AGAGUUUGAUCCUGGCUCAGGAUGAACGCUAGCGGGAGGCUUAACACAUGCAAGUCGAGGGGCAGCACGGGUAGCAAUACCUGGUGGCGACCGGCAGACGGGUGAGUAACGCGUAUGUAACCUACCCUGUACAGGGGGAUAACCCGGAGAAAUUCGGACUAAUAUCCCAUAGAAAUAUUGGAAGGCAUCUUUUGAUAUUUAAAGUUCCGGCGGUACGGGAUGGGCAUGCGUAACAUUAGCUAGUUGGUAAGGUAACGGCUUACCAAGGCUUUGAUGUUUAGGGGUCCUGAGAGGGUGGUCCCCCACACUGGUACUGAGACACGGACCAGACUCCUACGGGAGGCAGCAGUGAGGAAUAUUGGUCAAUGGGCGCAAGCCUGAACCAGCCAUCCCGCGUGCAGGAAGACGGCCCUAUGGGUUGUAAACUGCUUUUCCAGGGGGAGAAACUUGCGCACGUGUUGCGCAAUUGACGGUACCCUGGGAAUAAGCAUCGGCUAACUCCGUGCCAGCAGCCGCGGUAAUAU